AGUUGCAUGUUCAAUGGAGUCACCCAUGGAACGAAUGAAUAUGGCAAAUGUCAUAAGGAAGUUGCAUUUGAUAAAAGAAAACUUUUCUAAAUAUUCAGAUGCCCGAAGCAGACCAAAUGGAGGGUAAUUGAUAGGGAUUGAUUUUCUUUUACUGAAGUUUGAUAGCGCGGUUCGUUCCUCCAGUGAAAUUUGUGGUUCAGGUUCUCUGUGUUCAUCAUAGCAGAUGUUGGAUUUUCAAGCCAACUAUAGAAGAUUCAAAUAAUUGUGUCGCCACUUUUCAGUUCUACGUAAUUUGAUUUUACUUACGAUCCAAUUGUUUAUUUAAAUAGGAUUUCAUACAAGAUCAAUGAACUUGUUUAUGUUGUGAUUGUAUGUUCUAAGUCUGGUCUUAAGAGAGAGGUCCCAUCCUCUCUAAAUUAUUUCUAUCAGUUGAAUUUGUUGAAUAAAAUCAUUAUCUG
rnacentral:misc_RNA from 1 species